rnacentral:lncRNA from 1 species
AAGGAAAUAAUCCAAGUUUGGUCUAAUAAGUAAGUUUAUUUAAAUAUGAAAUCAGUUGACAAGCCAUUACCCAUUAUGAAGAGUUCAACAUAGCCUGCAAAAUAGCAAUAUAAUAGCAUCAAAAGAAAAGAACACUCAAUAUUCAAAGGAUAUAUACUUUGGAUACAGUAUAGAAAAACAUAAGUUUUUCUUUUUCCACAAACGUCUAUUUCUAGCGUCAUGCAAUGCAUCCAAAUAACUUUUUGGUUUCUGAUUUGUCUAGUGUUUGGGGGAUGGAGUUCAUGGUCCUUUCACAAAAUCCUUUUCAAACAAAUAUAUCUUGGUUAAUGUUGAAAUGAAUUUGGAAAUAUCCUGAAUGUAUAAUGGCAAUAUAGUGUGCCUUAUGGCUGGGGAAUUAUUAGCUUUGUUUUUAGGAUUGUAAGUUUUUUGUGGGAGCUGGGGAAUAGGAUCUGUAUAAACCAUUUCAUGCAGAAUUGUUGGAGUUUUGAAGAAUUUUUCUGAGUUGGAUCAUAGCCUUGCUGGUUUUGUUUGUUUGGGAGGUUUCUGGCCUCUUUUGUGUAAAAGGUUUGAGCAUCCCUCAAAUGCUCCCUUUUAUUUAGUUAAUUUUUUUCUGAAAAAAAAGAUGAUGCAUUAUGGCAAUAUAGGAAUUCUCUGAAAACUCCCAUUGAAUAUCCCUUCAAGGCUUUUGUUUAGAAAAUCCUGUCAACCUUGUUGAGUUCAGUAUAGAAAGAUUUAUUAACUUUGAUGCACAACUUUCAGGUCAUUAGCAUGAACAGUACAGAAGAUGUAUACCUUACUAACUAAUCAAAAUGAAAAUGAUGAACUUUAAGUAGUCAAUACAAUAGUAAUUGAAAGAACAAAGAUAUGGGAGAGAGCUCUUACCUGCUAUAUAGUAUAGAAUUGCAACUAUAUAUAAGAGAAUUUGAUGUUGAAUUCCUUGAACAGAAAAAGAAAACAUUAGCUUAUAUUGUACUUGACAAAAGAGACAGAAAAAUUGCAGGUAGAAGAAUGUUUUCUCACCGCAUUGGUUCUUUUCAAAUUCUAGGCCUAAAACUUGGCAAUAAUCUUGUUGACAUUCAAUUUGAUUAGUUGUUUGAUUGACGAAGCAUCCUACACCCUUUCCACAUUGGUCUGUACAAAUAACUGGUGUUACCCAAUUCAACCAAAACCCAUUAUGCAGGCACUCAUGGAUAUCAGCAUAGGAAACUUUGUUGCAAUGGCUAUUGUUUGUAAAGGUAGCAGCCUUUAAAUGGCAGCCUACCUUGAUGUCCAUCAUUGUGAAUUUAGCAGAAGAAGAAAGAACGGCAUAGACAUGGCCUCCAGAAUCACAAAGUCUGCCAUUCACUUCCACGUAUCGAGGAUCAUCACUCACUCGAUCACUACAGUUUAGAAACGCUACAUACGGAGGCCAAUAAGAAGGCCCAUACAUAUACUCAUUCCAGAAAGUUAGUGGAGCAAUGUCAGUGAAGUUCGAUGUAGAGAUGAAAUAGCGAGGAAUGGAGCAAGCAAUGUCCUCCUCAACACCUGCAUCAGUCAAUUGGAUGCUGUAUGUUUGGUAGCUGAUAUUGUGAACAUGGUAUUUCCCUGAAAACAAAGUGAAGACUGUCACAUUCUUUACGCAAUCUAAUUCGAACCCUGGGAGCCCGCAACCAGGUGGGUCGUCUUUGAGUCGGAAAGGAUAACUUAUGUUGCCAAUUUUGCCACAGGAAGAAGGAGCACAGAUUGGACGAUCCUUGGCAGCGUGAAUUUGCCGGAAUAGUACAAUAAUGAUAGCCACACGGGCAAGCAGUGAUUGUGCAGAGCAGCAGAAAGAAGAUAAGACCACCAUUGUUUACCUCUGGUCGUAUAAGUGGACAAGAUCAUAGUUAUAUAAUUCACCAAAAUCAACUUACAACGCAGGACCACUUGUUUAAAUUUUGAUUCAAAACAAUUAAUGUUGGUUCAUGUUCAACUACUAAAUAGUAACCAAGCAAGUAUCAUAAACUUUCAAAGUCGUUCAUCGUGUGCAGACUUUUACACUAUGCACCACACAAACAAAAACGAUCUGAAUGUUAAGAAACGAGUGUUAAUUCAAUUCCCAUCUUUUCUAGGAAACAACAAGCUUCAUAACAAGUGAUGUCCCAUUUUCUCUAUUUUAUCUUUUGUAUCUUUUCUUAGCUUUAUUUUUUUUUAUUAUUAUCUCAUUAUUCUCUGUAAUUAUGAAUCAGUCUCUUUUUAUUAUCUUGUUCUUCCAUGGACCCCAUUCAAUCCAAGAGGAGAAGGAUGCAUGUCAUUGUUGGAAAUUCUGUUUUUUAACUGCAAGUGAUAUUUUAUUAUUCUGUUUUAAUUCUGUUUUAAUUGUUUAUUUAAUAUUUCUAGGUAACUGCUCAUUAAAUUAGUUAAGAGUUUGUUACUGUAAGUAUUAUAAAUGUAAUUGUCAGCAAAGAUAAUAAAAUAUCUUCCUCUGAAAUAUUCUAAAAACCAACAAUUGGUAUCAGAGCUAUCUUCUUGAGGGAUCCGUGAGGUUAAUAGAGUGCAUCAAUGGAAGGAGGUUUCAAUUUUUCAGCAAUGACACCACCUGUCUUUGAUGGAGACAAUUAUCAAAUGUGGGCUGUUCGUAUGGAGACCUACCUAGAAGCAUUGGAUUUAUGGGAAGCUGUAGAAGAGGAAAUUCAGUCCCUUCCAGAAAACCCUACCGUGGCACAAAUAAAAUCACAGAAGGAACAAAAGAUGAAAAGAUCAAAGGCAAAAGCAUGUUUAUUUGCAGCUGUAUCUCCUAUGGUAUUCACAAGGAUAAUGUCCUUGAAGUCAGCAAAAGAAAUCUGGGAUUACCUUAAAGCCGAAUAUGAAGGUGAUGAGAGGAUUCGUGGAAUGCAAGUGCUGAAUCUAAUCAGGGAGUUUGAACUGCAGAGAAUGGAGGAGUCAGAAACUGUAAAAGAGUAUUCUGACAGACUUCUAAGCAUUGCCAACAAAGUGAGAUUGCUUGGAUCUGUGUUAAAAGAUUAAAGAAUUGUGGAGAAACAAAGGUAGCCAGAUCAAGCAGAACCAGCAAGGAAAUGAAGAAGUUGUUGCACACAAUAACAACAAAAGGAGAAAUUACCCUCCUUGUAAGCAUUGCAACAAAUUAGGUCAUCCACCGUUUAAGUGUUGGAGAAGACCUGAUGCUAAGUGCAACAAGUGCAAUCAACUUGGGCAUGAAGCAGUCAUUUGUAGAAACCAAAGUGAGCAACAAGAUGUGAACCAAAGUGAGCAAAAAGACGUAGAUGCUCAAUUUGCAAAUGAGGAGGAGGAUGUACUUUUCGUUGCAACUGGUCUCUCCAACAAUAUUUCAAGUGCAUCGUGGCUAAUUGAUAGUGGAUGCACAAAUCACAUGACUUAUGACAAAAAACUUUUCAAGGAGUUGAAGCCUUCAAAAAUUUCAAAGGUCAAGAUAGGCCAUGGGGGUCACAUUUCAGUAAAAGGAAUAGGAACCAUUGUUGUAGCAACACAUUCAGGUACUAAAACUAUUACUGAUGUGUUAUAUGUACCUAACAUAGACCAAAAUUUAUUGAGUGUUGGUCAGUUGCUGCAAAAAGGCUUCAAGGUGUUUUUUGAAGAUAACCAUUGUUUGAUCAAGGAUGCUACCGGACAAGAUUUGUUCAAGGUACAAAUGAGAGACAAAAGUUUCUCAUUAGAUCUAUUUCAGGAGGAGUCGUCUGAUCAAGGACUUCUCAAGAUGCAAAAAUCUGAAAUGGAAGAUGAUCCACCAAUUAAAGGCAAUCGAUUACUCUCUGAUAUAUAUCAUAGAUGUAACGUUGCAAUAUGUGAACCUGUGGAUCACAAAGAACCUUUUGAUCACAAAGAAGUUAUCAAUAAUCCAAAGGCGGAAAAGACAAUGGAGGAAGAGGUGUAUAUGAUUGUGAAGAACAAAACUCGGGAGCUUGUUGACAUACCUCGAAAUAGAAAGGUACAUCAAAUGGAUGUCAAGUCAACAUUCAUAAAUGGAUUUCUUGAAGAGGAAAUUUCUGUUGAGCAACCUAAAGGUUUAAUUGUGAAAGGAAAAGAAGACAAAGGUUAUUUUAUCAGCUUAGGCUUUGAUAACAGUCUUUUAGAAUCUGCAUCUUAUGUCAAAUCAAAAGAUGUUGAAUGGAGAUUAAGCAAAGCGAGGAUGAAAAAAAAAUAAAAAUUGCAAAUUUGUUUACCAAGCCACUUCCCGCCAAAAAGUUUGAGUUCUCAAGAUAGAAGAUUGGAAUUUGCAGUUCAAAAAAUCAAGGAGGAGUGUUGGAAAUUCUGUUUUUUAACUGCAAGUGAUAUUUUAUUAUUCUGUUUUAAUUGUUUAUUUAAUAUUUCUAGGUAACUGCUCAUUAAAUUAGUUAAGAGUUUGUUACUGUAAGUAUUAUAAAUGUAAUUGUCAGCAAAGAUAAUAAAAUAUCUUCCUCUGAAAUAUUCUAAAAACCAACAAUUUUCUACUCACAAGUCUUGGAAAAUAUAAGAAAGGUUAUGAGCUUGACUAUAUCAUAACCACUCAUUCAUUCAUGCCAAUUCAUUAUUGACAGUGUCGUGGAAAGACUCACACCUAUUGGUUGUUGACGAGCCAUCAUGGAAAAAAUGUUCACCAACCUUAACUAAAUCCCAUCAUUCAAUACUUAGCUUAUUACUAUUAUUUCCGUUGCACUCCAUUAUCAGUUUCAUUAAUCCACUUCAUUCCCUAUUCUUACCAUGGCAGUGAAAAACAAUCAAUUUUGUCAAAGUUAACACGCACACUCUAUUUUCUGAAAAAAAUACUCUUUUUCUAUUUUUUUUCUAUAUCUUUUCAUUGUGCAUCUUACAAUUAAGAGACAACCUAUUUAUAGGAUUAGCAAGCUCUUCUAAUACAGAAAAUAAUAAAACUUUAUUAUGACCUUAAAACCCCACUAACAACAUAAUAAAAUCUUAUGAUGGUCAUAAAACCCCACUAUAAUAACUAUUGGUCUUUCAUCUAUCGAAACUCUCAUUCUUUUAUUUCCCACUAACUUCUAAAUUUAAACCCACAAAAUAGCAUUUAAAGUUUAUUUAACAAAACUCCCCCAUAAACUUAAAUGUUUCUACCAUCCAUCAUGUCAAUCAUCUUCUUGUAUUUGUCAAAAAGUACUUUCGGUAGCGGUUUUGUGAAGAUAUCUGCAACAUGAUCCUGACUUGCCACAUGCACCAAUUCCACACUUCCUUUCUUCACAUGAUCAUGGAUAAAGUGAAAACGAAUGUCAAUGUGUUUGCUUCUUUCAUGGUUCACUGAGUUCUUUGCCAACUCAAUUUUUUAUUUGUUGUCAACUUGUAUCACAGUUGCACCUAGUUGCUUUAGCUCCAUCUUGCUCACAAGUUUCUAAGCCAUAGCGCAUGACAUACACACUAAGAUGUUGUCACAUAUUCAGCUUCACACGUCGAUAGUGUAACGAUUGGUUGCUUCUUUCAAAGCCAAGAAAAUGUUGUGUUGCCCAUAAAGAAUACAUAUCCCAAUGUACUUUUUCAAUCGUCUAUGUCUCCGCACCAAUCGUUUUUAUAGUAUCUAACCAACUUGUAAUCUUCUGCUUUCGAGUAGAAUAACUCGAGUGAUACAAUACCUUGGAUGUACCAUAGGACUCGCUUCAAUGCCUUCCAAUGUGAGUAAACCGAAUCAUCCUUGAACUGACUUAUAAUGCCGAAACUUAUUGAAUGAUCCAACCUUGUGCAUGUGAGACAGUGAAGGCUUCGUACCAAACUCUGGUAUCUACUCACAUCGAGACGUUCUUCUCCAUUGAACUUUGAGAGUUUUGCACCUGGUUCCCUUGGUAUUGAUACUGGGUUGCAAUUUUCCAUCUUGUACUUUUUCAAAAUCUCUUUUGCAUAUGCCUUCUAUGAUACAAAAUUAGCCAUAUCUUCUUGUCUAACCUCCAAACCAAGGAAAAACUUCAUGAAUCCCAAAUUUUUCAUCUCAAAUUCUCAUGUCAUUAUGCUCUUGAACUCUUCUAUCAUCUCAUCAUUGUUACCCAUAAAAAUGGACAUCAUCGACAUAAAGAGCAACAAAUAUCAUGUUACCUCCACUCUUAUUUGUGUAAAGGGCAUGAUCAUAAGGACAUUGCCUAAACCCAUUCUCCUUGAAAUAUGUAUCGAUAUGAGUAUUCCAUACCCGCAGUGCUUACUUCAAACCAUAAAGUGCCUUCUUCAAUUUUAGCACCUUCUUCUUUUCUUCGAUUUUCAUCUACCCAGGUGGUUGCUUGAUGUAGACUUUUUCUUCAAGAACACCAUUCAAGAAUGCCGACUUGACAUCCAUUUGAAAUAUCAGCCAUUUAAAUUGAUCCGCUUGGGAAAUGAGCAAUUGAAUUAUCUCCAUUCUUACAACGAAAGCAAGCACCUCAUCAUAGUCGAUUCCCUCCUUUUGUUUGCAUCCCUUCGAUACGAGUUGCGUCAUGCACUGCUCUAUCUCGCCUUGAGCAUUAAUCUUUUUCUUGAAUACCUAUUUCACAGCAAUGGGCUGACUUCCUUCUGGAAAUUUUGUUAGCUCCCAUGUGUUGUUGUGGUCAAUCUCUUUAAUCUCCUCAUCCAUGGUAGUUUGCCACUUCCCGUCUUCCACUGCCUCUUCAAAGUUGAUAUUUUCAGCAUUUACCAAAAGACAUACAAGGUGUACUUCAUUUUUCGAAUCAUAUAAAUCUUGCAAACUUUGCAUAUUUGGUUGUCGUGGUUCAUCUUUAUCAUCAGUAGUUUCAAAACACUUUUGUAUACUUGUUGGUGCAACGAUUGAUGAUUCUCCAACUUCAAUGAUAGCCUCCAAAGAAUAGUUCCAAUCUCACUCCCUUGCUUCAUUUAUUUGCACAUCACAACUCACCAUCACCUUCUUGCUUAUCGGGUCAAGUAGCUUGUACCCUUUUGUCUUCUCAUCAUAUCCAAUAAAAAUAUACCUUUUGCUUUUUUCUUCGAGCUUCGUUCUUCAUUCAUCUGGUACGUGAGCAUAAGCCACACUACCAAACACUUUGAGAUGAGAAAUUGUCGGCUUUUGUCCACUCUGAUGCCUCUUGUGGUGUUUGAUUAAAUUUUAUAUAGACAGUUUUAUAAUGUAGUUUUUAUUUUGAAUUAUCAAUCUGAUUAUUAUAUAUAUAAAAUGUAUUAAAUUAAUCUAUAUGUCUAAUUGUGGUUUGUUGGAUAUAUGUUAACCAUUAAUCUUUUUAUAUAUUUUAAUGUAAUUUUUAUAUACACUGUCCAUUGUUUAGUUGGUCUCUAAUUUUGAUUCUUAGUAUUCUUAAUUUGUUUUCUUUAAUUAUAGGAAUCAAAUUAAAAAAUGUACUACAUUUAUAAAAACCAGAGUAAUAAGAUAACUAAUAAAGAUAAAGAUUAAACCAUUAAUAACAUGAAAGCUGUUGCUUUCUGCACCUGACUUUAUCUUGUCAAGGCUAUGUGCCAAGAAGCUGGUUGGACCUUAGAAAAUGGGGUAUUUCUUCCCGCACCUCUAUGUUUUUCUUCUUGCCCCCUACAUUCUUUGCAAUACCAAAAUUAUUCUUGAUUUUUGGAGGAUUUUAGAAUAAGGGUUUCGGAAGCAAAAUGUGUUUACGGAAUAAAGGUUCCAUAAGCAAAGUGUGUUUUUAGAAUAGAAAAUUCGGAAGGCAAAAAUUCAUUAUGGAACAUCUUUUUGGGAACAUAUUUUUUUGAUUUUCAGAAUGGUAAAUUUGGAAUUCAUAAAAUGUAUUCCGGAAAAAAAUAAUCUGAAAGUCAUUUUUAAAAGGGAUAAAAUAGUUUUUUCCUAGAAUGAUGGGGUGCAGAAAGUCAUUUGUUAGAGUGCAGGGAGAAACACCCUAGAAAAUGAUGCGAAUGAAGAAGAGACAAAAAAAAGUCUUUUGUUAAGUGUUGGACCCAAGCUACAGCAGAGGAAGAAAUGAAACAUGGUGUGCACACUAAGAAAACAAAUUCAAUGAUGAUAUGGUUAAUUUGUUAUUAUAAAUAUUGCAUUGUAAUAAAGGGGUAUGGAUGAACAAUAUUUCGAUUAUUAUCAUAUUUCCAAUGAAGAAGGAUUAGCAAUUGAUGUGAUCCAUUAAGAUAGAGAGGUUGUUCCAUGCUUUCAUAUGAAAUGCAACUCUAUAGGCAAGGAAUUAUGUUUUACUUGUGAUGACAAGUUUUGUCCCUCUCACAAACGUCCCAAUAAACAAUACUUGUUAAUGCAGCUAGAAGAGAAUGAAGAAUCUAUUGAACCACACACUGACCCUCUUGAUGAACCUGAAAUAUUUUGUUGCCCUGUUUCUGUCUGAACCAAAUCUAUCUUACAAUGCCUUAAAAGGGAGCUUCUGCUUCAACGUUAAGCGUUUUCAAGGUUCUGUGAAUGGUAUGCCAAGCACAGAUCUUCUAUUGGAUAGUUUGAUGCCCUGCCACUUUUUUCAAUGUUUGAUGCAUGUUGUGCUUAGACAUUUGUUGAGAAAAAUGUCCUGUUUUUUUUAAUGAUAUUUUGGUAUGUAGUCCAACAUAGUUAUCUCAUUUGCAACAUUUGGAAUCAGUUUUACAAUUAUUGCAACAACAUAAGUUGAGUGCAAUACUGUCCAAAUGCACCUUUGUGAUACAACAGAUGGAAUACUUAGGUCAUACAAUUUUUGAACAUGGUGUGGCUAUGGACAAGGUGCAAGCUGUGCUAGUUUGGCUUACACCAUUUAGUAUAUUUUAUAACAGUUAUUCAUCUAAAACGAUUGAGGUAUUAUCACAGGUAACUAAAGGAUGUGCUUCUAUAGCUUUUCCUUUAAACAAAUUUAGUUUCUCUUGGCAUGAUGUUUCUGCCUCAACAUUUGCAAAUAUGAAAGCUGCCAUCACUAAGGCCCUUGUACUAGCUCUUCCAGAGUUUUCUAAGCCUUCUGUCUUAGAGACCGCUGCAUGGAGCAUUGAAAUAGGUGCAGUUUUGAGCCAAAAUAUGCAUCAUAUUACCUUUCUCCUCUAAGAACUUACUUCUAGAAUGCAGCAAAAAUUCAUUUAUUCUAGGGAAUUUUAUGAAGUUAUUGCCAAAAAUAGUUUUUGAUAUCAUAUUAAAAACUGAGUUUAAAAACUCAUCCUUCGAAAAUUAACUUAUAAAGUUAGGAUUAUAUUCACUUAUAUCGUGUAAAUUGGCCUUAUCUUUACUUGGUGUGAGAUUUUCAACACAUAACUUGACCUCAACCUAUCCCUCAUUCGAUUUCAUUGUUACAUGCUGCCCAAAUGGCCGAUACAGUUUCAAAAGCUAUUAGGGAAUCCUUUCUUCAAAAUCAACCUUCUUAUUAGUUCAUUCUUCGAUCCUCUUUUCAUAACCUUCUGAGCACUUUUGACCUGCAUGUAUUUUUUCUGCCUUAGAGUAAGAUAAAGCUGUGAAAAUAACUUUCAAGCAAAGAGAGUAAUGGUUAAUUAAAACUCUUAAUUAAUUCAAAAUCUAUAUCUUUGUUUAGCUAACUGUGUAAGACAAAAUUAUUAAUGAAUUUUGUAUAAAAUAAGCAUAAAUCAUGUAUAUAUUUGGGUUUUGAACAUGGUUGGACUGAGCUCUUCUAUUCAAUAAGGACAACAAAAUUUUGAAUAUGUAGUUUUCCAUUUGAAAUGAAGAGGAAGUUAACCAAUUAAUGUAACUUUAUUUGCAUAUUAUGAAAUGAGUUGCAUUACAUGGAAAGAGUUGCAGGUAUGUUAUAUUAUAUUUUACAGCAAAAUCAAUUUCUCUCUGUCAAUACUAUAUGGUUGCUUUCAAAUAUUAAUGUUAGAUUAUUUGGAUUUAAUUAUUUGUUAGUUUGUGGCUGAAACUGACAAUUAUUGUUGGCAUCAAAAACAAAUUAUGCUCAGCAAUCUUAAAAUAAAGCAAUCAUUCAUAAAAAUACCUCAUUACCACUCAUUUCAUCAGAAUUUGCCACUAUCUGCACUUCAGAACCAUCUUUAAGCAACCAUGCAUGAAAUUCCUCAUUAUUAUAAUAUACAGCUACCUGCUUCAUGCUUUAAUAUACUAUUAGAUAGCUGCAUCACACUUUGUUAUCAUCUAAUUAUUCAUGUCAUGAGAGUUACAGUUAUUUAUAUUUUACUGCAACAUCAAAUUCUUUUUGUCCUUUACAAUGCUAUUUUCAAAUAUAUACAUGCAAGGUUAAUUUCGGUUUAUUUAUUCAUUAGUUAGCCACCGUAAUUGACCAUUAUUACUGGCUCACUAGCCUUCAAAGGCAUCAUUUAAAAAAAAAAAGGUUGUUACUAUUAUUUCCAUUGCACUGCACGCAAUCAAAGGCCUAAGCUUCACACCAAAUUACUCACUUUCAUUCAUCCACUCCCUUUCCUCUUCUUACCAUGGCACUAGAAAUGGUUACCGGUGCUCUUGUUUCUACAUUCGUCGAGAGGACUAUUGACACUUUGGCUUCCCGUCUUGUCCACAUAUUCGGUGCAAGAAAACACAAAAAGAAGCAACUCAGCGACUUGAAGAUGAAGCUCCUAGCCAUUGAUGUUGUGGCUUUUGAUGCAGAGCAAAAGCAGUUCACUGAUCCACGUGUUAGAGAUUGGCUUCUCAGGGCAAAAGAUGUUGUGUUUGAUGCAGAAGAUCUCUUGGAGGAAAUAGAUUAUGAACUCUCCAAAAGUCGCCAAGUGGAAGCUGAGUCUCAGAGUGCUACUAACAAGGUGUGGAAUUCCCUCAAAUCUUCUUUUGUCACUUUCUUUGAAAAUGAAAUUGAAUCCAACAUGCAACAAGUCAUUGAGGACCUAGAACAUCUUGCUACCCAAAGCGAUUUUCUAGGUUUGAAAAAGGCUAGUGGUGUUGGGGUUGGAUCAGGAUCGAGCAGUAGAUUAACAUAUACAUCUUUGCCAAAUGAAAGUGUUAUUUAUGGCAGAGAUGAUCACAAAGAAUUUGUCCUUAACUGGCUCACCUCUGACACUCAGAACAACCUAUCUAUACUUUCUAUUGUGGGCAUGGGUGGGUUGGGUAAGACCUCACUUGCCCAACAUGUAUUCAAUGACCCAAAGAUUGAAGGUAAAUUUGAUAUUAAAGCUUGGGUCAGUGUUCCACAAGAAUUUGAUGUUCUCAAUGUAUCUAGAGCAAUUCUGGACACAAUUACCAGCUCAACUGAUCAUAGUAUACAACAGGAAGUGGUUCAGAGAAGACUGGAAGAAAAAUUGACGGGGAAGAAAUUUCUUCUCAUUUUGGAUGACGUUUGGAACGAAAGACAAUCUAAAUGGGAGGAUGUGCAGAAACCCUUACUUUUUGGAGGCCAAGAAAGUAGGAUUCUUGUCACUACACGUAGUGAGAAGGUUGCUGUUACCAUGAGAUCAGAAAAACACCUUUUGAAGGUAUUAAGCAAAGAUUAUUGCUGGGACUUGUUCGCAAAACAUGCAUUUCAAAUUUCUAAUCCUCAACCAGAUCCUGACUUCUUGGAGAUUGGUAAGAAGAUAGUUGAAAAAUGUAAUGGGCUUCCUCUAGCCUUAAAAACAAUGGGAAGUCUAUUACACAGUAAAACAUCCGUUUGGGAAUGGGAAAGCAUUAUGAAAAGUGAGAUAUGGGAUUUUUCAGAAAAUGAAAGUGAUAUACUCCCUGCUUUAAGAUUGAGUUAUCUCCACCUUCCUUCUCAUCUGAAGAAAUGUUUUGCUUUUUGUGCCUUAUUUCCCAAAGGUUAUAGGUUUGACAAGGAGUGUUUAAUUCAACUGUGGUUGGCUGAAAAUUUUCUAGAAAGUCCACUACAAAAAAGGAUUCCUAAAGAAGUUGGAGAACAAUAUUUCAAUGAUUUGUUAUCUUGGUCUUUCUUUCAAGAAUCCGGAAAAGAAGAGGAAAAGCAUUUUAUCAUACAUGACCUUCUAAAUGAUUUGGCAAAAUUCGUUUGUGAGGACAUCUGCAUCAGGUUAGGAGUUGAUGAACCAAAAGGUAUACCCAAGACAAGCCAUCAUUUUUCAUUUCCUACCAGUGGUGUUGUACAUUUUGAUGGGUUCGGAAGUUUGAUUGAUACUCAAAAGUUGUAUACAUUUAUGCGAACUGACAUGAGAAUGUAUAAUCCUUUUUGUUUCCCUUGGUAUUGUAAGAUGUCGAUAGAUGACUUGUUCUCCAAAUUUAAGUUCAUACGCUUCUUGUCUCUGUCUCAUUGUCGUAACCUUAGAGAGGUGCCUAAAUCUGUAGGAAAUCUUAAGCAUCUCCGUUCAUUAGAUAUCUCUUUUACUAAAAUAGAAAAAUUACCUGACUCCUUAAGUUUACUCUACAAGUUGCAAAUACUGAAGCUGAACUAUUGUCCAAGAUUGAAGGAGCUUCCCUCAUAUUUGCAUCAACUGGACAAUCUGCGAUACCUUGAAUUUAUAAAUACUAAAGUCAAAAUUGUGCCAGCACAUUUGGGAAAGCUCAAGAAUCUCCAAGUAUUGAUGAGUUCGUUUUAUGUUGAGAAAAAUAAGGAAUUCAGUAUUCAGAAAUUAGGACAACUCAAUCUUCAUGGAAGUCUAGCAAUUCAUGAGCUGCAGAAUAUUGAGAAUCCCUCUUAUGCAUCAGAAGCAGAUUUGAAGAACAAACCAGACCUUGUGGAGCUACAGUUAGAAUGGAAUAUUAUGGACAGCUCCUCUGUUGAUUCAACCAAAGCUGGGGAUGUAAUUGAGAAUCUACAACCUUCAAAAUACUUGAAGAAGUUAUCAGUAAGGAACUUUGUUGGUAAACAACUUCCAAAUUGGGUACUCGAUAAUUCGUUACUGAAUCUGGUGUCCUUAUCCUUUAUGAAUUGUACAUGUUGCCAACAUUUUCCUCCGCUUGGUCUUUUGCCAUUUCUGAAGAAGCUGGAGAUUUCAGGGUUUGAUGAGAUAGUGAGUAUUGAUGCUGAUUUUCAUGGGAACAACUCUUGUUCAUUUAAAUCCCUUGAAACAUUAGAGUUCUCCAAUAUGAGUCAAUGGGAAAAGUGGGAAUGCCAAGCUCUGACACGUGCUUUUCCAUGUCUACGACAACUUUUCAUAAGAAAAUGCCCGAAGCUGAAAGGAGAGCUGCCAGAGCAAGUUGUUCCUUUGGAAAGACUACAAAUUGAAGACUGUCAAGAACUUGAGGCUUCCGCUCCCAGGACUCUAUAUUUACUCCUAAGUGACUGUGGAAAGUUGCAGUUGGACUGUGCUUCACUGAGAAGUCUUACAAUGGGUGGGCACAACAUGCAAACAUCAUUGCUGGAAAUUGUUGGGAAGUCCAACACUCUUGAUCUGUUAGUGAUAUAUUCACUUUUGGAGUCAGUAAGUGAUGACUGUGUCUCUUGAUGUACCUUUUCACUGGAUUUCUUCCAAACACUCACGACCCUUCAACUCAGUGGCUUUGGUAAUUUACAAAUGAUUUCACUGGGUCUCAUCCAUAAUCAGCUGGAGCAUCUUCGUAUCAGUAGGUGCCAUAAAUUAGAAUCAUUGCCUGCAAACAUGCAUCUGCUGCUUCCAUCUCUCUGGUAUCUAUCCAUAGAAGACUGUCCAAGACUUGAGUUGUUCCCCAACAGAAGUUUGCCAUCAAAUCUAAAAGAGCUGAGAAUCCGUAAGUGCUCUAGACUUGUGGGCUCACUAAAAGGAGCUUUCGGUGACAUUUGUUCUUUGAAAAGGUUGAAGUUUGAAGAAGUGGAUGCAGAAUGUUUUCCUGACGAAGGUUUGCUUCCACUCUCUCUUACUGAUCUAUCCAUCUAUCAUUGUCCGAAUCUAGAGAAACUGGAGUACAAGGGUCUCUAUCAACUCUCAUCCCUUCAAACACUGACACUUUUUGACUGCCCUAACCUCCAACGCUUACCACAGGAGGGUCUUCCCAAAUCAAUUUUAAAUCUUAUAAUAAACCAGUGUCCUUUGCUGAAACAGCGUUGCCAGAAAGAAGGAGGCGAAGACUGGGAAAAAAUUGCUCACAUUCGACACUUGUAUAUACCGAAGUAAAUAAUGUGGUUUAUUAUUGUUUUGAAUGUGUAUCAACUAUUAUAAUGAAAUAUGCACAGAAAUUUAUAUUUAUACACAUAUAUAUAUUUUUUUCUUUUUUAUAUAAUGAUGUAUAUGCUACAAAUAUAAAUAAUAGAAGGACUUAAUGCAUAUCAUUCUUCAAUUUUGUACAUGCAUGUCUCAAAAGUUAGUAUAAUAGCAAGCUAGAUCCAUCUUACGUUGAUAUACUACAAUAGAGCUGCUGCAUCAUUUUGCAAUAAUCUAAUUACAUAUAUGGAAUGAGAUGCAAAAACAAAGCAAUGAAAAGAACAAUAUGGAAUAAACACAAUAUUAUAUCAUUUGGGUUUAUUUAUUAACUAGUUUGAAAAAAUGAUUAUCUUGAUUCAGCAGCAUUAAAGAAGAUCAAAUGACUCAGAAUAUUAACCCUGCACUGAGCCAUUGCCACUAGCUGCAAUUUUCAUUCAUCUACUCUGCUCCCUUUCCGAAUUCCUACCAUGGCUGCAGAGUUGCUUGGUGCUGCUCUUCUCUCUUCUUUCCUUCAGGUUGCAUUUCACAGGCUUGUCUGUGUCUAACUGUUCUAACCUUACAAAGGUCCCUGACUCAGUAGGCAAUCUUAAGCAUCUCCGCUCAUUAGAAAGACUGCCCGAGUCAACAUGUUCACUCUACAACUUGCAAAUACUGAAGCUCAACAAUUGUGCACUGUUCAAGGAACUGCUCUCAAAUUUACACAAACUCACCAAUUUGUGUCGCCUUGAAUUUAUGGAUACUGAAGUGAUAAAGGUGCCAAAACAUUUGGAAAAAUUGAAGAAUCUUCAAGUGUUGAUGAGUUCGUUUGAUGUUGGAAGAAGUAAGGAAUUCAGCAUUCAACAACUAGGACAACGCGAUAUGCAUGGAAAGCUAUCAAUUGGGGAGCUGCAGAAUAUUGAGAACCCCUCGGAUGCAAAAGCAGUGGAUUUGAAAAAUAAAACACACCUUGUGGAGCUAAAGUUAGUCGAACUUGGUUUGGUGAUCAUUCAUUAUUGAAUGUGACUUUUACAUGAGUAGCUCUUGUUCCUUUCCAUCCUUGGAGACAUUGAAAUUCUCCCGCAUGAAAGGAUGGGAGAAAUGGGAAUGUGAAACUAUGAGAUGUGCUUUUCCACAUCUUCAACAUCUUGCUAUUCAUUAUUGUCCCAAGCUGAAAGACCACCUGCCAGUACAAAUUCUUCAUUUUGAGACACUAUAUAUUCGACACUGCAAACAACUUUUGGGGCACCAUGGAAUGGUGAAAAUGAAUGGGAAAUAGGUCUUUUCCUGAUGAAGGUUUUCUUCCAAUUUCUCUUACUUCUCUACGGAUCUAUGAUUUUGUAAAUAAUCAUUUGUGGAAGUCUCAAAGGGUUUUCAUGUGCUACACUCAUCUUGGAAUUUAAUGUGGACAAAAUAUCUCACUGUUUAAUUUUGUUUCUAAAAUUGCAUGAGAAUUGAUUUUCAAGAAAAGAAAAUGUUCUUUGUAUGCUACAAACAGAGCUUAAAUAUAGCCAAAGUGGUUUUACCUUGUACAUUUUUACUUCCGAUUGAAGUAUGCAUAUAUGUUUGAGUAAUAUGAAAUUAAUUUUAUUGCAUUGUAGGAGACUAUCGUUGACAAGAAUAUGGCAUCAUUUAUUCCAAGAAUAGGAGACAAAAAAUUCUUAAAACUAGUUUGACUCCAAAGUUUUAAGUAGUUUCCAUUCUUGAUUUUCGCUUGAGUCUGGAACUGUAGUUGACCAAAAUCUUGUGUGCAUUUAAUUAUGUAACUCUUUAUUUUCAAGAUAUUAGAGUUAUAUAAAAUGAAUAAAUAUUAAAUGCUGGUUCAUCAGCCAAAGAAAGGCCACUGACUUUAUUUGAAGGUCUUAAGUAAUCCAUAAGUGCAACUAAUAGUUCUAUGAAACCCAAAGCUUUGCCAAAAGUUUCAAGUACAUUUAAUUUGGAGAAUCAAUUUAUUCAAAUAUAUAUUAUUAAAUGAAACUUUCCUGACCAUGAUGUAUGCUAGGCAACAACAAAUAUAACAGCAACCACUUUAAAAUUAAAAACCUUUUCCCUGUUAACAGCUAACUCCUUCUAAAUCAAUCUUUUUAAGGACGACCAAUUUAGCUCUAAGCAAUGUUCUUUAUCGUCAAGCGUUGCUCUCCCAUGGAUGAUUAGAGUUGGUUUUGCCAAGAUUUUUGCUAGAACUAGUUGAACCACUCCAUGAUGAUUGGUUUGAGUUGUCUCCACAAUCAUGUCCAACUGUUUCAGGGGGAUAAUAAACAGGCUUAGGAGGCAUUUCAAGACUUUCAACUUUUUCUUCAAGCAUCUCCACAACUCUCUUCAUUGAAGGACGGUCAUUUGGUUUUAAUUGUAUACACCAAAGGGAAACUACAUACAUUUUUUUCACCAUAAUCUUAUCCUCUUCUGAGGCAUCUUCUAUGUGAGUCUCUUUUUCAUCUUUAAUUUGAUCAUAUAUCCAAAAGGGGAAGUACUGUUGGCUUGAAUGUUCUGCAUGAGGAUUUGAGUUCCUUCUCCUACUUCCCAUUUCCAUCAAAAGCAUUCCAAAACUAUACACAUCGGCCUUAUUGAAUACUCCACCAACAUUAUUGUAGAAUAAUUCUGGAGCCAUGUAACCUAAAGUUCCUCUAGCCAUAGUCAAAGCAACAGACUUAUCUUCGACAGGAUAUAGCUUUGCAAGUCCAAAAUCUGAAACCUUUGGAAUGAAGUCAUCAUCUAGAAGAAUAUUAUGAGGCUUAAUAUCAAAAUGUAGAAUUUGCACAUCACAGCCUUGAUGAAGAUAAGCAAUUCCACGAGCUAUGCCAAGAGAUAUUUCAUAUGUUUUCUCAUAACUUAAAGGGAUACUUUCCUCUUUGGAGAAUAUGUAUUUAUCUAAUGAACCAUUUGGCAUGUACUCAUAAACUAGAGCACGCUUUUGUCCUUCAGCACAAUAUCCAAUGAGAUGUACCACAUUCACAUGAUGUAUUCUUCCAAUGCUAGCCACUUCAUUCAUAAAAUCUUGUCCAUCAGCUUUCGAUUUUUUCAACAUCUUUAUUGCUACUUCUGACCCACUUCGAAGUUUUCCUUUGUAUACAGAUCCGUAACCUCCUUCCCCCAAUUUAACUUUGUAACCUCUGCUCAUUUUCUUAAUUUCUCUGUAUCCGUACCUAAUAGGAUUUAGAUUGUUGUGUAGCAAAAAAGUUUCAAUGUUUUCAUACAUUGAGUAAUGCCUACGUCGCCACCUAUGGAUAAAUAGUGCAAGCAAAAGUGGCACUCCAAAUAGAAAUCUUGAAGCCACAAAUAUUAGAAUAGGGGCUAAUGAAAUGAUAUUUCCUUCCCAUCCCGAAUAGUUAGGUGAACGUGUUAUUGUGGACAUUAGUCCUGUGAAGAUAAAUUUCAUUGAAUGUGUAAGGAAAUAAACCAAGUUUGGUCUAAUAAGUAAGUUUAUUCAAAUAUGAAAUCAGUUGACAAGCCAUUACCCAUUAUGCAGUAUUUAGCAUAGCCUGCAAAAUAGCAAUAUAAUAGCAUCAAAAGAAAAGAACACUCAAUAUUCAAAGGAUAUAUACUUUGGAUACAGUAUAGAAAAACAUAAGUGUUUCUUUUUCCACCAAACAUCUAUUUCUAAGUAUUCUAUGUAUUUCUAGCGUCAUGCAAUGCAUCCAAAUAACUUUUUUUGUUUCUGAUUUGUCUAGUGUUUGGGGGAUGGAGUUCAUGGUCCUUUCACAAAAUCCUUUUCAAACAAAUAUAUAAUGUGGAAAUGAAUUUGGAAAUAUCCUGAAUGUAAAAUGGCAAUAUAGUGUGCCUUAUGGCUGGGGAAUUAUUAGCUUUGUUUUUAGGAUUGUAAGUUUUUUGUGGGAGCUGGGGAAUAGGAUCUGUAUAAACCAUUUCAUGCAGAAUUGUUGGAGUUUUGAUGAAUUUUUCUGAGUUGGUUCAUAGCCUUGCUGGUUUUGUUUGUUUGGGAGGCUUCUUGUCUCUUUUGUGUAAAAGGGUUUGAGCAUCCCUCAAAUGCUCCCUUUUAUUUAAUUAAAGUUUUGCUGAAAAAAAAAAAUUGAUGCAUUAUGUCAAUAUAGGAAUUCACUGAAAACUCCCACUGAAUAUCCCUUCAAGGCUUUUGUUUAGAAAAUCCUGUCAACUACUUGUUGAGUUCAGUAUAGAAAGGUUUGGGUUUCAAAAUUUAUUAACUUUGAUGCACAACUUUCAGGUUAUUAAAACAAAUAGUACAGAAGAUGUAUAGCCUACUAAUUAAUCAAAAUGAAAAUGAUGAACUUUAAGUAGUGAAUACAGUAGUAAUUGAAAGAACAAAUGGGAGAGAGCUCUUACUUGC